UAAGUGGAACCGCAGCUCUACUGUUGUGAUGCUGAAGCCCUCCCAGGCCUGGCACUGCCGAGGGGACAGCCACAGUCACACACAGCUGUUCCAGGCUGAGGAACAGCCACUGCCGCCCCGCUGCUGGCUGCUUUCAUUGUCUGUGCCUCCUGAAAGGGGAGAGGGGGACUGAAGGACACAAGCUACAACCAAACGGCCUGCAAGCGAUGAGGAUGUUCGAAUUCCUUUCCUGCUUGUGGCAGUGCGGUUGAUUAGCACAGAGCAGCUAGCUAAUGGGCCUGCUAUGAUGUGUGCUGGCCGUCUGGCACCCCAGUUCACACUCUGGAGCUGUUGGCGCCAAAACCUGCAGCCAUCCUCAGUCAGGUGGGGCAGCCAUCUUCCCUCACCUCCACGGUAUGGAGCAGCCGGUGCUUGUGAGCGCGGCUGGAGAGAUAGCCGUCAUUAUUCCGAGCACUCCAGGAGGCCUUAAUGGCCCCUUAACAGCCUUUCUUGGAAGUCGUCCACGUGCGAAGACCGAGCUGUGAGGAGGCAGCGCUGAUCUUCAGCUUAGCCACAACCUGCCCUUGUUGUCAGAGCCUUCACUUGUGCUCUGAUCUUGUACUUCGUUCACAGACCUUUCACCUCACUGUGGAUCUGCCCGGUGAGGAUCCUUUCUCCCUCCCAGCACCUCACUCUGGGGAGACUGAGGAGGGCACUGACCGGUGGGGAUGAGCCCAGGCGGAGGCAGCUGAGCAGCACUCUUCCAGGGCACCAGCUGCAGCUGACAUGCAGAAAUAUCUAUGAUCUACCUGAGGGACUCCUUCCAUGGACACUUCCAGUGGUAUCAUGGGCAUGUGGAGCAUUCCCCAUAGCAAUAUACACUUCUCAGGACUUCUGCAUAUGAAUUCUCAACUGCAAAGCUGAGAGGUUGGAACAAAAGAAAAGACUGAUUCUACCAGUUAGACCUAAUGUUGCUAAAUGUUGUGAAGCUAAUUCUUUGCCUGCUGGUAUGUUUCUAAUUGCUUUAAAAAAAAAAAAAAAAGUAUGUGCCUUUGCUCUUCUGAGGAUAUGCUGAUUUUGAGAAGGUAUGGGGAGGAGUAUAGCCUAACACUCCUGUGCUAUUUCCAUUUGUACUGUGGUACGAGUUAGAACCCCAGUUGUGACGGGAUUCUCAUUGUGUCAGGAACAUAGUGAAAGUGAAUUCCCAGCCUCAAAGUUCAUGGUACCUUAAUUACUUCCUUGUUAUAUGUAACUAUAUUGCUGUUUAUUAUUAUUUUUGUAUAUUCUGUUGCAUUUUAUACCUCUGCCUUGGUUAUCAAACACAGGAUUUUUACUAAUCCUUUUAAUUUAAGAAUUCCUGAGCUGUAAUUCCAUGCAUGAUAUUGACUUGGGGUUGACAGAGCUACUGACUCACUCAUCAUAUUUGAUCUAGUGAAAUGUCUCACCUUUGAAAACCUGCUGGUAGUCAUUACCUUCUGUGGGUAGCAGUAAAGGAGUCCUUUGAAAUAACCUAUGCCUACUUAAGAAACUUAAGCAUUCAUUUGUAACAGUAUUUUAAGAUCAGCCUGUUCCCUAAUAUUUUUCACCACACAUUGGUCACAUGUGUGAAAAAAUUUUGCUGGCAUAGUAAAAGAAUAAAUGGAGAAACAGCUGAGAAUAGAGACAGUUUAUGUUGACAGUAUUUCCACUAAAAUAACAUGAAGAAUCCAUUUAGGAUAUAUGGAGUCUGUAUGGAUAGGAUCAGUUGGCUCUGCUUAGUAAGGCAAAUAGAAAUGGAUGAUGAGAAGCUGUCAUAAAGCAGGAUGUCUUACUGGCAGAGCUAAAAAGCCUCAGGAAAAGUACUGCUUACACAGUAUUGGAGAAUAUUCUUUAGGGAUGUCAUGCAGACCUGUUCUUAUGCACUUUCCAGGCUAUUGGGCUUGAUAGGCUUUUGGUUUGACCUAGUAUGUCUUAUUUUUUUCUCACUCAGAGCUCUUGGAGGAGAGGAAAGUGGUGUCAGGGAAGCAAGAUGGGAUUUUACAGCCAUACAAAUGUCUACUAAACAUUUUUGGAGAGAAUUUGCAUUCUCUUGAAAAUGUAUGGAAUCUGUAGCUUGCAAGGGAAUAAUGAUAUUUAAAUAGGUGUUGUAGUGCAUUUAAGUACACAGAAUCAGUGUGUGAUUGGAUAGCAUUGUGGCCUAAUUGUUACAUUCAUUCAAUUAACAGUGUAUGGAUACAUAUCUCUGUGUCAUGCAUUUUAUUAGCUCAAAUAUGCAAUUGCAGUGAUGCUUCUACAGGGAGAUGGAACUGUAUAGCAACCUUGAAAAAUGUGAAACAGGUUUACAGGAGGCUUUCCUGGAGAACAUUUUGCAUCUUGAAAACAGUACCUUGGAAGGAGAUUUAUCUGGUUUUUCCCUUCUGCAUCACAAGGGUCAGAAUGUUUUAAAAUGUAGCAUUUAAAUUUGCUGCCUUUACUUGAACUGUAUACCAAAAUCUGAUUUUUGUCUGCCAUAUGCAAAGAGUAAGAAAUUUGCUCAGGACUAAACAUUAUUUUACAAUUGCUGUAAAGGUGUAAUCUUUCCUGUUAAAUACUUGUAUUAUUAGUAGAAUAAAUAUUUGUAUAGCUGCUUCAUAUCUAACUGCAUCAAAUGAAACUGUAGCCUUGUUGGGUUCCCAAGCAUGGAAACAAAAAUAUUUUAUCUCAAUUGGUGACAAUCUGUGAGGUUUGCAUAAUUUCACUUUAACCUCAUAGGUGAAAUGUUUGUCAGUGGAGUUAAGAAUGCAUUUUUCAAUUUUUUUGGUGAGUUUCAAUUGGAUUUAAUGCUGAGGCAUCAUGAGGUGGGAUAAGAAAUGGAAAUAUCUAUGCCUUUAUAUACGUA